UUAAGCGACUAAGCGUACACGGUGGAUGCCCUGGCAGUCAGAGGCGAUGAAGGACGUGCUAAUCUGCGAUAAGCGUCGGUGAGGUGAUAUGAACCGUUAUAACCGGCGAUUUCCGAAUGGGGAAACCCAGUGUGAUUCGACACACUAUCAUUAACUGAAUCCAUAGGUUAAUGAGGCGAACCGGGGGAACUGAAACAUCUAAGUACCCCGAGGAAAAGAAAUCAACCGAGAUUCCCCCAGUAGCGGCGAGCGAACGGGGAGGAGCCCAGAGCCUGAAUCAGUGUGUGUGUUAGUGGAAGCGUCUGGAAAGGCGCGCGAUACAGGGUGACAGCCCCGUACACAAAAAUGCACAUAUUGUGAGCUCGAUGAGUAGGGCGGGACACGUGGUAUCCUGUCUGAAUAUGGGGGGACCAUCCUCCAAGGCUAAAUACUCCUGACUGACCGAUAGUGAACCAGUACCGUGAGGGAAAGGCGAAAAGAACCCCGGCGAGGGGAGUGAAAAAGAACCUGAAACCGUGUACGUACAAGCAGUGGGAGCCUCUUAAUGGGGUGACUGCGUACCUUUUGUAUAAUGGGUCAGCGACUUAUAUUCUGUAGCAAGGUUAACCGAAUAGGGGAGCCGAAGGGAAACCGAGUCUUAACUGGGCGUUAAGUUGCAGGGUAUAGACCCGAAACCCGGUGAUCUAGCCAUGGGCAGGUUGAAGGUUGGGUAACACUAACUGGAGGACCGAACCGACUAAUGUUGAAAAAUUAGCGGAUGACUUGUGGCUGGGGGUGAAAGGCCAAUCAAACCGGGAGAUAGCUGGUUCUCCCCGAAAGCUAUUUAGGUAGCGCCUCGUGAAUUCAUCUCCGGGGGUAGAGCACUGUUUCGGCAAGGGGGUCAUCCCGACUUACCAACCCGAUGCAAACUGCGAAUACCGGAGAAUGUUAUCACGGGAGACACACGGCGGGUGCUAACGUCCGUCGUGAAGAGGGAAACAACCCAGACCGCCAGCUAAGGUCCCAAAGUCAUGGUUAAGUGGGAAACGAUGUGGGAAGGCCCAGACAGCCAGGAUGUUGGCUUAGAAGCAGCCAUCAUUUAAAGAAAGCGUAAUAGCUCACUGGUCGAGUCGGCCUGCGCGGAAGAUGUAACGGGGCUAAACCAUGCACCGAAGCUGCGGCAGCGACACUAUGUGUUGUUGGGUAGGGGAGCGUUCUGUAAGCCUGUGAAGGUGUACUGUGAGGUAUGCUGGAGGUAUCAGAAGUGCGAAUGCUGACAUAAGUAACGAUAAAGCGGGUGAAAAGCCCGCUCGCCGGAAGACCAAGGGUUCCUGUCCAACGUUAAUCGGGGCAGGGUGAGUCGACCCCUAAGGCGAGGCCGAAAGGCGUAGUCGAUGGGAAACAGGUUAAUAUUCCUGUACUUGGUGUUACUGCGAAGGGGGGACGGAGAAGGCUAUGUUGGCCGGGCGACGGUUGUCCCGGUUUAAGCGUGUAGGCUGGUUUUCCAGGCAAAUCCGGAAAAUCAAGGCUGAGGCGUGAUGACGAGGCACUACGGUGCUGAAGCGACAAAUGCCCUGCUUCCAGGAAAAGCCUCUAAGCAUCAGGUAACAUCAAAUCGUACCCCAAACCGACACAGGUGGUCAGGUAGAGAAUACCAAGGCGCUUGAGAGAACUCGGGUGAAGGAACUAGGCAAAAUGGUGCCGUAACUUCGGGAGAAGGCACGCUGAUAUGUAGGUGAAGCGACUUGCUCGUGGAGCUGAAAUCAGUCGAAGAUACCAGCUGGCUGCAACUGUUUAUUAAAAACACAGCACUGUGCAAACACGAAAGUGGACGUAUACGGUGUGACGCCUGCCCGGUGCCGGAAGGUUAAUUGAUGGGGUUAGCGGUAACGCGAAGCUCUUGAUCGAAGCCCCGGUAAACGGCGGCCGUAACUAUAACGGUCCUAAGGUAGCGAAAUUCCUUGUCGGGUAAGUUCCGACCUGCACGAAUGGCGUAAUGAUGGCCAGGCUGUCUCCACCCGAGACUCAGUGAAAUUGAACUCGCUGUGAAGAUGCAGUGUACCCGCGGCAAGACGGAAAGACCCCGUGAACCUUUACUAUAGCUUGACACUGAACAUUGAGCCUUGAUGUGUAGGAUAGGUGGGAGGCUUUGAAGUGUGGACGCCAGUCUGCAUGGAGCCGACCUUGAAAUACCACCCUUUAAUGUUUGAUGUUCUAACGUGGGCCCCUUACCGGGGUUGCGGACAGUGUCUGGUGGGUAGUUUGACUGGGGCGGUCUCCUCCUAAAGAGUAACGGAGGAGCACGAAGGUUGGCUAAUCCUGGUCGGACAUCAGGAGGUUAGUGCAAUGGCAUAAGCCAGCUUGACUGCGAGCGUGACGGCGCGAGCAGGUGCGAAAGCAGGUCAUAGUGAUCCGGUGGUUCUGAAUGGAAGGGCCAUCGCUCAACGGAUAAAAGGUACUCCGGGGAUAACAGGCUGAUACCGCCCAAGAGUUCAUAUCGACGGCGGUGUUUGGCACCUCGAUGUCGGCUCAUCACAUCCUGGGGCUGAAGUAGGUCCCAAGGGUAUGGCUGUUCGCCAUUUAAAGUGGUACGCGAGCUGGGUUUAGAACGUCGUGAGACAGUUCGGUCCCUAUCUGCCGUGGGCGCUGGAGAACUGAGGGGGGCUGCUCCUAGUACGAGAGGACCGGAGUGGACGCAUCACUGGUGUUCGGGUUGUCAUGCCAAUGGCACUGCCCGGUAGCUAAAUGCGGAAGAGAUAAGUGCUGAAAGCAUCUAAGCACGAAACUUGCCCCGAGAUGAGUUCUCCCUGACUCCUUGAGAGUCCUGAAGGAACGUUGAAGACGACGACGUUGAUAGGCCGGGUGUGUAAGCGCAGCGAUGCGUUGAGCUAACCGGUACUAAUGAACCGUGAGGCUUAACCUU
rnacentral:rRNA from 2 species